UCCUGGUGGCUCAGAUGGUAAAGAAUCUGCCUGAAAUGCAGGAGACCCAGGUUCAAUCCUUGGGUCAGGAA
rnacentral:tRNA from 1 species